ensembl:lncRNA
GCCCAUCAGCUAGUGAGUCUGUUGAAGCUCCAGGACCUCUUAGAGACCGGCUUAGACACCAGAGAGCAUGAGAGAGGCAUGGAAGCUGUAAUUCAUUCUCCCUCUCUCCCCCUCUCCCCCAACUCUGGAAGGAUGGAAGGAUGGAAGGAUUCAUAAAAUAAAUAGCUGGUUAAUGGUGGUAGGAAUGUGUUUAGGAGGUCACUGCUACUGCCUCCAGUCGCAGUGUUAGGAGACAGAAUCCUACUGAAGACAACGAAAGGCUCUGCAGAGAUUUCUUAACACCUCCUGAGUGGUAUCAGGAAGUGUCUCCAGUUAGCCGGACCAGCCCUGGACUUCACAGAUUUGCCCUCAUCUUCCACGGGGCCACCAGGAGCAGAGUUCUACUGGACCGGGAAAGGCCUGCUCUUGCAACACAUGUGGGCCUUUGGCAGAAGAAAAAUUGAGUGACUCAUCGAGAGAAUUGUUUGUUUGCUCUGAGGAGCAUUCUGAGGACCCUCUGGGCUGCACAAGGAGUCCUUUGAUCCUGGCAAUGUGAUUUCUUCCAGAUGUUUUCCCCAUAGCCACCUUUCUGCAGUGUCCCUCCUCAUUCUGUGUCAUAAGAAUAAAUGCUCAAGAACAAUUGUAACAGCACACGGGUUUCCUGAACACAGAGUGACAGAGAACUGGCAUCUGAUUUAGUUUCAGCAGCAAUGAAAGAGGCUGAGGAAAGCAGAGCUGAGUUUGAAUCUCGUUAGAGAUCUUCAUGACAAAAAUGAGAAUUAUGAGAAUCAGGG